AGUGGAAUAGCUUGGUCAAAUGGUGGUUUCAUUCCAGUUUUCCAAAGAAUCGCCAUACUGCUUUCCAUAGUGGUUGUACCAAUUUGCAUUCCCAACAGCAAU
rnacentral:pre_miRNA from 1 species